UUCUAUUUAACCCUCACAGCAAGCCUAAAAGAUAGGUACUGUUGAGCCCAUUUUACAGAAUAGGAAAGAAGUACAGGUUAUGUCACUUGCUCAACAGGUUAUGUCACACAGCCAGACAGAGCCAGGUUUCAAACCCUGCUGUCCAGCUUUGCCACACUGGAGAGUCAGCUGGGCGGGAGGCCUUUGCUUCCCACUUGGAAGGGGCUGGACCAAGACCCGGUAAAAUCAAUCUUGCCGUGUCACUCAGCAGAUGUACAGGAGCACUCAUCCAGUGCUCCUUCCAUAAGCAUGACUGGACCUUAGCCAAGUCAGCAAAUUAGGAAGAUUCAUGGGCUCCAAGCCCCUCCUCUCUGCACUGAGCCAGCCCGCUGUCACAUUUUCCUAGGGCAAUGAUUUCCUGCCUUCCACCUAUCCAAACCCAGCCCUGAGAAGGCCCCACCACAUCCCCACUCUAUUGGGGAAGCCUGACCACCAGCACAAUGCACUUUGUGCCUGGCUCCAAACGCAGCCCUUCCUUCCAAGGUAAGGGUUAAUGGGGGGAGGGGCAGACAUGAAACCGACAAUUAACCAUGUGAGGGUGGGGCUGGGGUGACUGGGUGCUGGGAUGGCAAAAGGGGGCUCCUAAUGCCCAGCAGCUGUGGCUCAAAGGAGAAUGCCUGCAAGAAGUGACUUUUCAGCAGAUCUGGAAAACCAGGAGAUGUGCACAGGUAGGAAGAGGGGAGUGAUCCAGGCAGAGGGCAAGUGCGCAUUCAGGCCCCCAGGUGAGAGAAUAGAGCCCCCGGAGAUGAAGUGAGGUUAAAGGUGCAGGAGGAACAGGAGACUGCAGAGGUCGGCAGGGGCCAGGUGAGGAGUGCCCCGGAAGUCUCUUAGUCUAUACCUCGAGGGCAAUGGGAAGGCCAGGAAGGGUUUGCAGCCAGGGAGUCACGUGAUCGGCUUUGCUCAGGCUGGAGGGGAGGAGGUGGCAGUAAUCUGGGCCAGAGUUGUGAGCAGGCGGCAGCAGCAGGAAACGGAGGUGGAUGGACACGAGAGGCAGUGAGGAGAUGGGAGAAUCAAACCAAAUGAAGAAUCGACGUUCAAAGAGUCUUGCUCCAAAAUCAAAGUGAUAGAAGUAGAAGAGUGAGAAUUUGAACCUGUGUCUUUCUGACUCCUCUGCACCACUUUUGGCCCUGAUGUGAUGCAAAUGGGUGGCUACCCAGAGCCUGAUUGUCAGGUGGACACACGUUUAUUCACGACCUACGGUGGGUGAGCACUGGCCUGGCAGGGGCAAACUUGAGGCCGAGGUGACAACAGUCUCAGCACAUGGUGGAGUGGGAAGACACACGUGGCAAAGCAGGAAACAAACAGUGAAGGUGUAAGGCACGUCGAGAAGGGGCCAGGAAGGCAGCCCACAGGGCUUGCAAUGGAGAAUAACAAGGAAGGUCUCUUUCUAUCAAGUCUUCAGGGAGGGUCAGUCUAAGAAGAAAAUCUUUGAUCUCAGACUUAAAAAAAAAAAAAAAAAAUCAAUGCCUCUCAGAGCUGGGAGACAAGUGGUCCAGGCAAAGGAAACUGAGGCACAGAGAGGGACAGGAAGGGCACAAGGUCACACAGCAACUUCCCAGAAGGGCCAGGAUUUGAAACUCUAAUGCCAGAUGCCAAACUCCCCUCCGUGACAUUCUCUCUCUCUUUUUUUUUUUUGCUG